AUGGCUGUCGUCAGCUCGUGUCGUGAGGUGUUGGGUUAAGUCCCGCAACGAGCGCAACCCUUGUCCUUAGUUGCCAUCAUUAAGUUGGGAACUCUAAGGAGACCGCCGGUGACAAACCGGAGGAAGGUGGGGAUGACGUCAAGUCAUCAUGGCCUUUAUGGCCAGGGCUACACACGUGCUACAAUGGCAGGUACAGAGGGAAGCCAACGCGCGAGCGGGAGCCAAUCCCAGAAAGCCUGUCGUAGUCCGGAUCGGAGUCUGCAACUCGACUCCGUGAAGUCGGAAUCGCUAGUAAUCGCAGAUCAGCAUUGCUGCGGUGAAUACGUUCCCGGGUCUUGUACACACCGCCCGUCACACCAUGGGAGUUGACUGCACCAGAAGCAGGUAGCCUAACCGCAAGGAUGGCGCCUACCACGGUGUGGUCAAUGACUGGGGUGAAGUCGUAACAAGGUAGCCGUACGGGAACGUGCGGCUGGAUCACCUCCUUUCAGAGGCUCGCAGACAAUAGACAAGUCGGCGCGAGUUUCCACACAAGUUACCUGCCUGGAUUCCUGAAGGAAGCGGCCCCAUAGCUCCCUGGACGAAGUCUGUAAUUAAUCUACUUAUGGGCUGCAGCUUGGGUCUGUAGCUCAGUUAGUUAGAGCGCACCCCUGAUAAGGGUGAGGUCGGGGGUGCAACUCCUCCCAGACCCACCAACCAAGGCUGGGGCCAUAGCUCAGCUGGGAGAGCGCCUGCUUUGCAAGCAGGAGGUCGCCGGUUCGAUCCCGGCUGGCUCCACCAGCUCUUGUCGCCUCCAAUACUUUCAGGAAUCCGCACGGGUGCGAUGUUGAGAUUGUUCUCAACGGGCCGCAAGGCUCAUGAGAGCAAUCUUUCGAUCGCACGGUGAGCAUGAAGCCGUGCUGCUCUUUAACAAUCUGGAAAAUUCUUUGUUUUGACGCUAAGUUUUCAAGCGAGUUUAUUUGAUUUUGUUUUAUUGCUUGAAAAUGUCGCGUUCGCAUAAAUGUGAAUGAGAAAUCAGCUAAGAAAUAACCCCCAGACUCCUUGGGGUUAUAUGGUCAAGUGAAUAAGCGCAUAUGGUGGAUGCCUAGGCGGUAGAAGGCGAUGAAGGACGUGGUAGCCUGCGAAAAGCGUCGGUGAGCUGGCAAACAAGCUUCGACCCGGCGAUGUCCGAAUGGGGAAACCCGG
rnacentral:sRNA from 1 species